rnacentral:rRNA from 1 species
CAGCAGUCAAGAAUAUUAGUCAAUGCUCGCAAGAGUGACCUAGCUAGCUGAAAUCCUUGAUGUGUCAUUGAGGAUAAGGUAAGGGAAAAUAAUGAUAUUACCUUACUAUUAGUGUCGUCCAAAACUCGUGCCAKAAGACUCGGUAAGGCGAGAGACGCAAACGUUAAUCAUCUUGAUCAGGCGUAAAGGGUAUGUAGGCAGUUUAAAUUAAGUAUAAAACAUUACAAAAAUUGUAAGAUAUCUAAUAUUYUAUAUUUAAUGGAUACUAGAAUCUAAAGGAGGUUAAGACAAUAUUUUUUAGGUAAGUGUUSGAACUUAAGAAAAGAAGUAGAGUGUUAAAGGCGAAGGCUUUUUUCCAAUAAAGAUUGACGCUGAGAAACGAAGGAGAGGGCAGAAAAAAGGAUUAGAGACCCUUGUAUUCCUCUCUGUCAACGAUGAAUGGUAGUCAUGAGAUAGAAAUAAUCUUGAGGCGAUGUUAACACGUAAAACCAUUCCGCCUUGUGAGUACGACUGCAAAGUUGAAAACACAAAAGUUAGUCUGUUUCGGAGCAAACGAAGUGAAGCAUGUUAUUUAAUUCGAUAAUCCGC